rnacentral:rRNA from 1 species
UAAUACGUAGGGGGCAAGCGUUGUCCGGAAUUAUUGGGCGUAAAGAGCGUGUAGGCGGAUAUUUAAGUCAGAUGUGAAAACUGGCGGCUCAACCGUGAGACUGCAUCUGAUACUGGAUAUCUUGAGGGUAAGAGAGGGCAGUGGAAUUCCUAGUGUAGCGGUGAAAUGCGUAGAUAUUAGGAGGAACACCAGUGGCGAAGGCGACUGCCUGGCUUACAACUGACGCUGAGACGCGAAAGCGUGGGGAGCAAACAGGAUUAGAUACCCUGGUAGUCCACGCCGUAAACGAUGGGUACUAGGUGUAGGAGGUAUCGACCCCUUCUGUGCCGCAGUUAACACAUUAAGUACCCCGCCUGGGGAGUACGGCCGCAAGGUUG